GAUCUGGCUCAGGAUGAACGCUGGCGGCGUGCUUAACACAUGCAAGUCGAACGGGAAUUACUUUAUUGAAACUUCGGUCGACUUAAUUUAAUUCUAGUGGCGGACGGGUGAGUAACGCGUGGGUAACCUGCCUUAUACAGGGGGAUAACAGUCAGAAAUGACUGCUAAUACCGCAUAAGCGCACAGGACCGCAUGGUCUGGUGUGAAAAACUCCGGUGGUAUAAGAUGGACCCGCGUUGGAUUAGCUGGUUGGUGGGGUAACGG
rnacentral:rRNA from 1 species